GGAUCCUCCUUGGUUCCUGCCUUGGUCAGGAAUUGCGCUGGCUGCAUACACCACCAAAACACCACCAGCAACAACAAAAGUGGCUUCGGUCGCCUCAUGGUUCAGACUGUUGCCAGAGCCCCAGCCAUCACACCUCUGUUCAGGAAGCAGAAAAAAAGAAACGCAAAGGACAGGGGGUGCUUUUCCCAGGCCCCGCCUCUGCAGCUUCGAGACCCCAGCAGGGUCUUCAGGGACCAGCAGGAC